GAUGAAGAACGCAGCGAAAUGCGAUACUUGGUGUGAAUUGCAGAAUCCCGUGAACCAUCGAGUCUUUGAACGCAAGUUGCGCCCGAAGCCAUUAGGCCGAGGGCACGCCUGCCUGGGCGUCACACGUCGUUGCCCCCCCAUCUACUCCUUCGGGAUUGCGGGGGGCGGAUGAUGGCCUCCCGUGCGCCUCGUCGCGCGGUUGGCCUAAAUGCCAAGUCCUCGGCGACGCACGCCACGACAAUCGGUGGUUGCGAAACCUCGGUUGCCUGUCGUGUGCGGUCGUCGCGCAUCGAGGGCUCGAAAAAAUUGCCGGGCUUCGGCUCGACUUUCAACGCGACCCCAGGUCAGGCGGGGUUACCCGCUGAAUUUAAGCAUAUAAUAAGCGGAGGA
rnacentral:misc_RNA from 1 species